ensembl:snoRNA SNORA74 Small nucleolar RNA SNORA74
CCCAGCAGUAGUUGCUGAUGGUGCAGAAUCAUUCCUGUGACAGUGAUACACUGUUGGGAGAGGAAUGUCUUGUCUUUUCCGAUCAGUUGCCUCCCCCACUGAUGUUAUGGUACUGGUGCAAGCAGAAUGUGCCACAAAUGUCCUUUGGCUGCUUGGUUUUAGUCUGGGAGCAGACAUA